CCUACGGGUGACUGCAGUGAGGAAUAUUGGUCAAUGGACGAGAGUCUGAACCAGCCAAGUAGCGUGAAGGAUGACUGCCCUAUGGGUUGUAAACUUCUUUUAUAAAGGAAUAAAACGAGGCACGUGUGCCUCUUUGCAUGUACCUUAUGAAUAAGCAUCGGCUAACUCCGUGCCAGCAGCCGCGGUAAUACGGAGGAUCCGAGCGUUAUCCGGAUUUAUUGGGUUUAAAGGGAGCGUAGAUGGGUUGUUAAGUCAGUUGUGAAAGUUUGCGGCUCAACCGUAAAAUUGCAAUUGAUACUGGCAGUCUUGAGUGCAGUUGAGGUAGGCGGAAUUCGUGGUGUAGCGGUGAAAUGCUUAGAUAUCACGAAGAACCCCGAUUGCGAAGGCAGCUUACUAAACUGUGACUGACAUUGAUGCUCGAAAGUGUGGGUAUCAAACAGGAUUAGAUACCCUAGUAGUC
rnacentral:rRNA from 1 species